UACGUAGGGUGCAAGCGUUGUCCGGAAUUAUUGGGCGUAAAGAGCUCGUAGGCGGUUUGUCGCGUCUGCUGUGAAAACUCGGGGCUUAACUCCGGGCCUGCAGCCGAUACGGGCAGACUAGAGUUCGGCAGGGGAGACUGGAAUUCCUGGUGUAGCGGUGAAAUGCGCAGAUAUCAGGAGGAACACCGGUGGCGAAGGCGGGUCUCUGGGCCGAUACUGACGCUGAGGAGCGAAAGCGUGGGGAGCGAACAGG
rnacentral:rRNA from 1 species